GCAAACUUGGUCAUUUAGAGGAAGUAAAAGUCGUAACAAGGUUUCCGUAGGUGAACCUGCGGAAGGAUCAUUACAGUGCCUGCGGGGCGUGGGGUGAUCCCCGCGUCCCGCGACCUGGCCACCCGUGUCUACCUUACCUCUGUUGCCUUGGCGGGCCCGUCCCGGGGGAGUCCCCCGGGACCGCCAGAGUGCGUACCCACGAGCGUGCCCACGCUCCCGGGACGGCGCCGCGGCCCGCGCCCGCCAAGUGUACCGGUGAACCCUUGCGAAGUAGUGUCGUCUGAGUUGAUGUGGAAUGUCACAAAACUUUCAACAACGGAUCUCUUGGUUCCAGCAUCGAUGAAGAACGCAGC
rnacentral:misc_RNA from 1 species